rnacentral:rRNA from 1 species
GACGAACGCUGGCGGCGUGCUUAACACAUGCAAGUCGAGCGCCCAGCAAUGGGAGCGGCGGACGGGUGAGUAACGCGUGGGAAUUUUUCCUGGAGUACGGAACAACCGAGGGAAACUUCGGCUAAUACCGUAUGAUGCCGAGAGGCCAAAGAUUUAUCGCUCUGGGGUGAGCCCCGCGUCAGAUUAGGUAGUUGGUGGGGUAAAGGCCCACCAAGGCGACGAUCCGUAGCUGGUCUGAGAGGAUGAUCAGCCACACUGGAACUGAGGCACGGUCCAGACUCCUACGGGAGGCAGCAGUGGGAAUAUUGGACAAUGGGCGCAAGCCUGAUCCAGCCAUGCCGCGU